UGGAGGUGAUGUGACAUUACCCACCUGACUAACACUGGAGGGAAAGACUGAUUUAAUGAGGCUGAUCC